rnacentral:lncRNA from 1 species
UCCUUUCUUCAUGAGCCCCCACCCGCAUCUCCCUUGAGGUUGGUGCCGCCCUCUUUGGGGAAACCAGGAACUUCCGAUCCUUGUCCCAGGCCGCGGGCUACCCCACAGCAGGUGUCCCCACCCCAGGGCCAGGGACGGACGGCUGCGCUCAGGCCGCCUGCUGGGCUCUACUGCGCGGGGUCGUCUGCCCGAGGAAGGCUGCUUUCUGGGAGCUGCCCAACCUCUUCCUGCCGGGGCUGCGUCCCACGGGGGUCCCUUCCCUAGCCCCAGGGGCUGGAGGCAGCCCCGAGCCCUGUCCCAAGGAGAACCAGCUCUGCUCUAGCGGGGGGCCCAGGGCAGGGCUGGUGGUGCCCAGGGCCCUGUGCAAGAGGACGGCCGGAGCGCAGGAGCCUGCCCUUGGCUGACACGGACCCGUCCUGCACCAGGAUCUGCAAAUAAAAGGUUAGUUUAUUUUCUUUUUCCACCUAGACUUUUACUUCAUUUACUUAAAAAAAAAAGGUCCGCAUGUAGAUUAAGACAAAAGGAGCAGGAAGUGAGCCUCAAGUCCCACCACCUGGAAGCAGCUGCUGUUGAUAAUCCUUUUUCUUUUUUUCUUUUUAGGGCCACACUCGUGGCAUCGCCUUUGGGCAUCGUCUCCUCUGCAGGGGCCAUCGCCGUCCCAUCUUGCAGAGGGAAGCUCCAGGUUUCUCUUCCUGUGUCCUGCCUCUCCCGGAUGGCGCAUGGGGAGCCAUUUGACUGUAAGCUCCUUGCGGGCAGGCCGGGCACCGCGGUCUCCUUGGGAAGCGCUGGGCACGGUGAUUGGGCCUCGGCAGCCCGGCCUGCAGCAGUGACGUUAAACGGAGACGUUUCCCUAGACGCAGAUGUGGCCUGUGCAGGAACCAGGGUUGGACGAAUUCAGCGGAGACUGGUCCUCGGUGCGUGUGUCUGUCUGGUGACAGCAUGAAAAUACACGGCACCUGAGAAGGGAUUUCAGCGCCUCGAGGCUCUUUUGUAACGACAGGGGGCUGGGGUGGGGGUUGACUGCACUGUGCCCUUGGGUGAGCUGUUUCCCACAAGAGCUUGAGACGCAGCGGGGUGCCUGGAGUCAUCCUCAGGCUGGCUGGUGUGCGGUUGUUUGGUUUUGCUCCCAGAGGGGGACACUCUGGUCUGCACAGCCUCCCUUUGGGCAGAGGCCGGCCGACCGGCUGGAGGGGCGCCGUGCCCGCUGCGGACGAGCCCUGGCCCCCAGGCUCAGAGGCGGCGCAGGGAGUUGAUCCUCAGGUACCUGGAGAAGAGCACGUACAGGCGGCGGAACCAGAGGAGCUGGCUGCGGUGGCGGGACAUGGCUUUCUAGAAGAAUCAGAGGGUGGCUGUGAGCAGAGCCCUGCCUCCUCGCCUCUUGCCACCCGCCCUCAUGCCCGUGCGACAGCCGGAUCUGGCGUCUUCUUGGACCUUUAUACCUCCCUGGACUGGCCCCCCAACCUCCGCCUCCCCUCCCGGGUCCUGGCUCGGCUCUGCGAACAGCGGGAGGCGCUGCAGCAGCAGAGGGUUGGGGAGUAAAGGGCUGCAGUUAGUGCGGCCUUUGAACAAAGAGAUGGAGAAACUCGUGAGCCUCAGCGAGCAAGUGGGCUGUAAAGCUGGGAUGUGACCCUGUCUGCUUGAUUCUGCAGCCUACGCUCGUUUCUUUGGUUUUGGCCAUGUCCGCAGCAUGUGGCAGUUCCUGGGCCAGGGAU